rnacentral:misc_RNA from 1 species
GAUGAAGAACGUAGCGAAAUGCGAAAAGUAGUGUGAAUUGCAGAAUUCAGUGAAUCAUCGAAUCUUUGAACGCACAUUGCGCCCCUUGGUAUUCCAUGGGGCAUGCCUGUUCGAGCAUCAUUUGUACCUUCAAGCUCUGCUUGGUGUUGGGUGUUUGUCCCGCUUUUUGCGUGGACUCGCCUCAAAGCAAUUGGCAGCCGGCGUACUAGCCUGGGAGCGCAGCACAUUUUGCGCAUCUCGACUGGAACGCUUGCGUCCAUUAAGCCUACACUUUUGCUCUUGACCUCGGAUCAGGUAGGGAUACCCGCUGAACUUAAGCAUAUCAAUAAGCGGAGGA